UACGUAGGGUGCAAGCGUUAAUCGGAAUUACUGGGCGUAAAGCGUGCGCAGGCGGUUAUGUAAGACAGAUGUGAAAUGCCCGGGCUUAACCUGGGAACUGCAUUUGUGACUGCAUGGCUAGAGUUUGGCAGAGGGGGUAGAAUUCCGCGUGUAGCAGUGAAAUGCGUAGAUAUGCGGAGGAACACCUGUGGCGAAGGCGGCCCCCUGGUUGGAUACUGACGCUGAUACGCGAAAGCGUGGGGAGCAAACAGG
rnacentral:rRNA from 1 species